ensembl:lncRNA
AAAUGGGGGGAAAUGGACCCAAAAUGGCCCUAAAUGGGGUGAAUGGGCCCAAAAUGGCCCUAAAUGGGGGGAAAUGGGCCCAAAUGGGAGGAAUUGACCCCAAAAUGGGGGGAAAUGGGCCCAAAAUGGCCCUAAAUGGGGGAAAAUGGACCUAAAUGGGGGGAAUUGACCCCAAAUGGCCCCAAAUUGGGGUGAAUGGAGCCCAAAAUGGCCCUAAAUGGGGGAAAUGUACCCAAAAAGGGGGAAAUGGGGGUGAAUGGACCCCAAAAUGGCCCUAAAUGGGGGAAAUGGACCCAAAAUGUCCCUAAAUGGGGGGAAAUGGACCCAAAAUAGGGGGAAAUGGACCCCAAAUGGCCCUAAAUGGGGGGAAAUGAACCCAAAUUGGGGGAAAUGGACCCCAAAAUGGUCAUAAAUGGGGUGAAUGGACCCCAAAUGGGAGGAAUUGACCCCAAAAUGGGGAGAAAUGGGCCCAAAAUGGCCCUAAAUGGGGGGAAAUGAACCCAAAUUGGGGGGAAUUGACCCCAAAAUGGCCCUAAAUGGGGGGAAAUGGGCCCAAAAUGGCCCUAAAUGGGGGGAAAUGGACCCAAAAUGGGGGAAAUGGGGGUGAAUUGACCCCAAAAUGGCCCUAAAUGGGGGGAAAUGGACCCAAAAUGGCCCUAAAUGGGGGGAAAUGGACCCAAAAUGGGAGGAAUUGACCCCAAAAUGGCCCUAAAUGGGGGGAAAUGGACCCAAAUUGGGGGGAAUUGACCCCAAAUGGCCCCAAAUUGGGGUGAAUGGAGCCCAAAAUGGCCCUAAAUGGGGGGAAAUGGACCCAAAAGGGGAGUAUGGGGGUGAAAUGGGACCAAAAUGGACCCUAAAUGGGAGGAAAUGGACCCAAAUUAGGGGAAUUGACCCCAAAAUGGGGGGAAAUGGGCCCAAAAUGUCCCUAAAUGGGGGGAAAUUGACCCCAAAAUGGGGGGAAAUGGACCCCAAAUGGCCCUAAAUGGGGGGAAAUGAACCCAAAUUGGGGGAAUUGACCCCAAAAUGGCCCUAAAUGGGGGGAAAUGGACCCAAAUGGGGGGGGAAUUGACCCCAAAAUGGCCCUAAAUGGGGGGAAAUGGACCCCAAAUGGUCCCUAAUUUGGGUGAUUGGACCCAAAAUGGCCCUAAAUGGGGUGAAUGGACCCCAAAUGGCCCUAAAUGGGGGGGAAUUGACCCCAAAAUGGCCAUAAAUGGGGGGAAAUGGACCCCACAUGGACCCAAAAUGGGGGGAAUGGACCCCAAAAUGGCCCUAAAUGGGGGGAAAUGGACCCCAAAUGGCCCUAAAUGGGGGGAAAUGGACCCAAAAUGGGGGAAAUGGGGGUGAAUGGACCCCAAAAUGGCCCUAAAUGGGGGAAAUGGACCCAAAAUGUCCCUAAAUGGGGGGAAAUGGACCCAAAAUAGGGGGAAAUGGACCCCAAAUGGCCCUAAAUGGGGGGAAAUGAACCCAAAUUGGGGGAAAUGGACCCCAAAAUGGUCCUAAAUGGGGGGAAAUGAACCCAAAUCGGGGUGAAUUGACCCCAAAAUGGCCCUAAAUGGGGGGAAAUGGAGCCCAAAAUGGCCCUAAAUGGGGGGAAAUGGACCCCAAAUGGGAGGAAUUGACCCCAAAAUGGGGAGAAAUGGGCCCAAAAUGGCCCUAAAUGGGGGGAAAUGGGAACAAAAUGGCCCUAAAUGGGGGGAAAUUGACCCCAAAUGACCCUAAAAG